UACGUAGGCGGUUAAUUAAGUCAGAUGUGAAAGCCCCGGGCUUAACCUGGGAACUGCAUUUGAAACUGGUUAACUGGAGUUUGGUAGAGGGGAGUGGAAUUUCAGGUGUAGCGGUGAAAUGCGUAGAGAUCUGAAGGAACACCAGUGGCGAAGGCGACUCCCUGGACCAAAACUGACGCUGAGGUACGAAAGCGUGGGUAGCAAACA
rnacentral:rRNA from 1 species